rfam:Bacillus sp. MTM 13 64, whole genome shotgun sequence.
GGUAUCGUGAGAUAUGGUCUGAAGGAGAUGCGGAAAAUCGAGAGACCCGCAGGCGCAAGAAUAGACCCUAAUGCAAGAAGUGUGAAGCACGGCGGCGGGAUAAGUUGGCGACUUUUCGAAAAGUGAGGAAGCCCACUAAAAGGCAGAUUCCUAAGAAGUCAGAACGGGAAAAUGUGACUUAUAACGUGAUGGUGCAGGGUAUGCUCUGAAGGAAGAAGUG